UACGUAGGGUGCGAGCGUUAAUCGGAAUUACUGGGCGUAAAGCGCGCGCAGGCGGUUCCUUAAGUCUGAUGUGAAAGCCCACGGCUCAACCGUGGAGGGUCAUUGGAAACUGGGGAACUUGAGUGCAGAAGAGAAGAGCGGAAUUCCACGUGUAGCGGUGAAAUGCGUAGAGAUGUGGAGGAACACCAGUGGCGAAGGCGGCUCUUUGGUCUGUAACUGACGCUGAGGCGCGAAAGCGUGGGGAGCAAACAGG
rnacentral:rRNA from 1 species